rnacentral:rRNA from 1 species
AAGGGCACCACAAGAACGCGUGGAGCAUGUGGCUUAAUUUGACUCAACGCGGGAAAGCUUACCGGGUCCGGACACACUGAGGAUUGACAGGUUCUAAUAGUAUCUUUUUGCGGAGAUAUUAGUAAAUAUGCUAGACCUUUCAUGAUUGUGUGAUAGGUGGUGCAUGGCCGUUCUUAGUUCGUGGACUAAUCUGUCUGGUUAAUUCCGAAAUGCUAUAUGAGAGGGCAUUUUUGAGAUUUUGUACACCUUUGGAUAACACUGGUCAAAUCUUAUUUGUCUUCUCUUUGGCAACGAACGUGGCCGCAACCAUUAAUUUUCAGGGUUUCAUCUACAUGCUUUACACUAUCAAUUUAUUUUGUUAGAAAGAGUAUUAUGAGCCUCGCCUGCACAACAGGAAUUUAAUGGGACGCAUACGCUUUAAGGUGAAGAAAGACUGCGGCCAUAACAGGUCUGUGAUGCCCUUAGAUGUCCCGGGCCGCACACGUGCUACAAUGAUUUAUACAGUAAGCAUAUAUCGAAUUUUACGAUGAAUUUUCUCAUAUUUGAAAGGGUCCAUCGUGAUUAAGCCUUCUUCGAAAGUAAGAAGGUAAUCAAUUCGAAAUAUAAAUUUUCGCGUAUUUUUAUAAUACUCAUUUUUUUUUAAAAGUGUUUAUUAUAGACAAAUAACCAAUCAAGGUAGGGACAGACCAUUGUAAAUUGUUGGUCUCGUCUCAACUAGGAAUGCCUUGUACGGGUCUUGGUUCAACAAACCACCCGGAAUACGUCCCUGCCCUUUGUACACACCGCCCGUC